ACUCCAGCUCCUAUGCAGCGGCUGGGCAGAUGGACCUGCGGUGUGGGGCCACAAGGCCCGAGAGGCCUGGGCCUCUCCCAGCCACCGUGGACCCUCUGGCAGCUUGAGCAGGUGGGUCCCAGAGGCUGCUCAGGCCUCAGCUCCUGCACAGCCAGGCCACACCGGGGCCUCCUGGGCUGGAAGCAUGGAAGGAAGGCAGGUACCAAAACAAGGAGGAGGAGAAGGAGGAAGGAGGGGCCCUCUAGCCCCGAGGACCGAGGGCAGGAUGAACCCAGAACAUCCAGGACUUCCCGUCCGUCCUGAGAGGCGGCAAGUACUUGGCCUCCUCCCGGGUGCUCCUACCCUCUGUGAGCAUCCCC
rnacentral:sRNA from 1 species